CCCGGACCUUGUACACACCGCCCGUCAAGCCAUGGAAGCUGGGUGUACCUAAAGUCGAUAACCGUAAGGAGUCGCCUAGGGUAAAACUAAUAACUGGGGCUAAGUCGUAACAAGGUACC
rnacentral:rRNA from 1 species